UGUGUCCCUCUCUGCUUCCUCCCUAACCGCUACAGAUUUGACGCAGUCGGCAGGAUUUCACCAGUAUAUGGUGGAGAUGUGACUCCCUGAUCGCUCCCUGGGAAGGUUAGCUAAGGUGGAUGAAAAGAUACAACCAAGUUUGUGUCGUGAUUUACGAAGACCUACCCCUGGGAAAGUGGGAAAAGCGCUGUCUCAGCAGGCGACUAUAGCUGCAAUGUUUAGAGUGGUGGGAGGACCGUUUGGAGCGGCAACCUCCUGGACCAACACGGAAACGGAUGGCGACAUAGACACCUUGGAUACGCUCCUGCCCAUAGCUGAAGUUCGGCCGUACCGCCUGUGAAUACUCCAUGUUGGAAACGCUGCAGCCUGCCUGCCGCCCACGACA